rnacentral:rRNA from 1 species
CCAAGGAGUCUAACAUGUAUGCGAGUCAUUGGGAAUGUAAACCCAAAGGCAUAAUGAAAGUAAAGAAUUCGAUUGCGAAUUUGAGGAGAGAUCAUGGACAUUGGUGGGAUCCCGCAAGGUUUUCUGCCAAUGUUAUGCGCAUCUCCUGGACGUCUAAUACCUCUGAAGGUUGGGCGUACCAAGAGCAUACACGUUGGGACCCGAAAGAUGGUGAACUAUGCCUGGUCAGAACGAAGUCAGGGGAAACUCUGAUGGAGGUUCGUAGCGAUUCUGACGUGCAAAUCGAUCGUCGGAACUGGGUAUAGGGGCGAAAGACUAAUCGAACCAUCUAGUAGCUGGUUCCCUCCGAAGUUUCCCUCAGGAUAGCUGGCGCUUGAUUAAAUCAGUCUCAUCCGGUAAAGCGAAUGAUUAGAGGCCUUGGGGCCGAAACGACCUCAACCUAUUCUCAAACUUUAAAUGGGUGAGAAGUCAGGCUUGCUUAAUCGAAGCUCUGACAAUGGAUGGUGAGUGCCAAGUGGGCCACUCUUGGUAAGCAGGACUGGCGCUGUGGGAUGAACCAAACGUUGGGUUAAGGCGCCCGAAUCGACGCUCAUCAGAUCCCAUAAAAGGCGUUGGUUGCUUAAGACAGCAGGACGGUGGCCAUGGAAGUCGGAA